rnacentral:rRNA from 1 species
AUUGAACGCUGGCGGCAUGCCUUACACAUGCAAGUCGAACGGUAACAGGUCUUCGGAUGCUGACGAGUGGCGAACGGGUGAGUAAUACAUCGGAACGUGCCUAGUAGUGGGGGAUAACUACUCGAAAGAGUGGCUAAUACCGCAUGAGAUCUACGGAUGAAAGCAGGGGAUCGCAAGACCUUGUGCUACUAGAGCGGCCGAUGGCAGAUUAGGUAGUUGGUGGGAUAAAAGCUUACCAAGCCGACGAUCUGUAGCUGGUCUGAGAGGACGAUCAGCCACACUGGGACUGAGACACGGCCCAGACUCUUACGGGAGGCAGCAGUGGGGAAUUUUGGACAAUGGGCGAAAGCCUGAUCCAGCAAUGCCGCGUGCAGGAUGAAGGCCUUCGGGUUGUAAACUGCUUUUGUACGGAACGAAAAGCCCCGGGUUAAUACCCUGGGGUCAUGACGGUACCGUAAGAAUAAGCACCGGCUGACUACGUGCCAGCAGCCGCCGUAA